CCUACGGGAGGCAGCAGUGGGGAAUUUUGCGCAAUGGGGGCAACCCUGACGCAGCAACGCCGCGUGAGUGAUGAAGGCCUUCGGGUCGUAAAGCUCUGUCAGAGGGGAAGAAAUGCAGGUGGUGAACAACCAUUCUGUUUGACGGUACCCUCAAAGGAAGCACCGGCUAACUCCGCGCCAGCAGCCGCGGUAAUACGGAGGGUGCGAGCGUUGUUCGGAAUUAUUGGGCGUAAAGCGCGUGUAGGCGGUUUGUUAAGUCUGAGGUGAAAGCCCCGGGCUCAACCUGGGAAGUGCAUUGGAUACUGGCAGACUUGAGUACGGGAGAGGAGAGUGAAAUUCCCAGUGUAGGAGUGAAAUUCGUAGAUAUUGGGAGGAACACCGGUGGCGAAAGCGGCCUCCGGGACGGCUACUGACGCUGAGACGCGAAAGCGUGGGGAGCAAACAGGAUUAGAUACCCCGGUAGU
rnacentral:rRNA from 1 species